UACGUAGGGUGCGAGCGUUGUCCGGAAUUACUGGGCGUAAAGAGCUCGUAGGUGGUUUGUCGCGUUGUUCGUGAAAUCUCACGGCUUAACUGUGAGCGUGCGGGCGAUACGGGCAGACUAGAGUACUGCAGGGGAGACUGGAAUUCCUGGUGUAGCGGUGGAAUGCGCAGAUAUCAGGAGGAACACCGGUGGCGAAGGCGGAUCUCUGGGCCGAUACUGACGCUGAGGAGCGAAAGCGUGGGGAGCGAACAGG
rnacentral:rRNA from 1 species